CCUACGGGAGGCAGCAGUGAGGAAUAUUGGUCAAUGGACGAGAGUCUGAACCAGCCAAGUAGCGUGAAGGAUGACUGCCCUAGGGGUUGUAAACCUCUUUUAUCAAGGAAGAAAACGAGGCACGUGUGCCUGAUUGGAUGUACUUUAUGAAAAAGCAUCGCCUAACUCCGUGCCAGCAGCCGCGGUAAUACGGAGGAUCCGAGCGUUAUCCGGAUUUAUUGGGUUUAAAGGUAGCGUAGGUGGGUUGUUAAGGCAGUCGGGAAAGUUUGCGGCUCAACCGUAAAAUUGCAAUUGAUACUGGCAGUCUUGAGUACAGUUGAGGUAGGCGGAAUUCGUGGUGUAGCGGUGAAAUGCUUAGAUAUCACGAAGAACCCCGAUUGCGAAGGCAGCUUACUGAACUGUGACUGACAUUGAUGCUCGAAAGUGUGGGUAUCAAACAGGAUUAGAUACCCCAGUAGUC
rnacentral:rRNA from 1 species